rnacentral:piRNA from 1 species
UUUGCAAUCAUUUGUCAGUCGGCAGG